rnacentral:sRNA from 1 species
AAGAGAAGAAGGACAAGAAGAUC